rnacentral:rRNA from 1 species
CCUACACAUGCAAGUCGAACGGCAGCACGGGAGCAAUACCUGGGUGGCGAGUGGCGAACGGGUGAGUAAUGUAUCGGAACGUACCUUUCAGUGGGGGAUAACGUAGCGAAAGUUACGCUAAUACCGCAUAUUCUGUGAGCAGGAAAGCAGGGGAUCGCAAGACCUUGCGCUGAUUGAGCGGCCGAUAUCAGAUUAGCUAGUUGGUGAGGUAAAGGCUCACCAAGGCGACGAUCUGUANCGGGUCUGAGAGGAUGAUCCGCCACACUGGAACUGAGACACGGUCCAGACUCCUACGGGAGGCAGCAGUGGGGAAUUUUGGACAAUGGGCGCAAGCCUGAUCCAGCCAUGCCGCGUGAGUGAAGAAGGCCUUCGGGUUGUAAAGCUCUUUCAGCCGGGAAGAAAACGCAUGGGUUAAUACCCUGUGUGGAUGACGGUACCGGAAUAAGAAGCACCGGCUAACUACGUG